rnacentral:rRNA from 1 species
AAUCAACGCUGGCGGCGUGCCUCAGACAUGCAAGUCGAACGCGAAAGUCCCCUUCGGGGGACAAGUAGAGUGGCGCACGGGUGAGUAACACGUAGGUAAUCUACCUUCGGAUGGGGAAUAACAACCGGAAACGGUUGCUAAUACCGCAUAAUGCAGCGGCACCUAAUGGUGACAGUUGUUAAAGCGGGGGAUCGAAAGACCCCGCGUCUGAAGAGGAGCCUGCGGCGGAUUAGCUAGNGGUUAAGGUAAUGGCUUACCAAGGCGACGAUCCGUAGCCGGCCUGAGAGGGCGGUCGGCCACACUGACACUGACAUACGGGUCAGACUCCUACGGGAGGCAGCAGUCGGGAAUUUGGGCAAUGGGCGAAAGCCUGACCAGCAACGCCGCGUGAAGGAUGAAAUCCCUCGGGAUGUAAACUUCGCAAGAACGGGAAGAAUAAGUA